UACGUAGGGUGCAAGCGUUGUCCGGAAUUAUUGGGCGUAAAGAGCUCGUAGGCGGUUUGUCGCGUCGGCUGUGAAAACCCGAGGCUCAACCUCGGGCCUGCAUUCGAUACGGGCUGGCUAGAGUACUGCAGGGGAGACUGGAAUUCCUGGUGUAGCGGUGAAAUGCGCAGAUAUCGGGAGGAACACCAGUGGCGAAGGCGGCGAUCUGGGAAGAUACUGACGCUGAGGUGCGAAAGCGUGGGGAGCAAACAGG
rnacentral:rRNA from 1 species